UUUCACGUGCCUGUCUGGGCAAUUCCAUAUAGCCUUGGGCAGAUCUUUGUGAGGAAGCCAAGUACUCCCAAUAGUCACCAGAUCAGAGAAAAGUAGGGUGGGAAGGGAUCUCAGGAGGUCAUCUAGUUCAACCCCCUGCUCCAGGCAGACAAUCAGACUGUGCAUCUCACAGUACGUUCUUACCCUGCCCCAUCGUGAUUUGCCAUCCCAAUACCGUGCAGCCCCAAACUUGCCAUUUCUUUACUAUGUUCAUUUCCAACCUUUGCAUUCAUGUCUCCCAUUACCAGUGCAGCAUCAAAACUUGGAGCCUCAUCUCCAAUGCUAUCCAACUGUUGAUCCAAACCAUCCUCCUCCUCUUCUUCUGCUGCUUCUGUUGUGGGAAAACAGCAGACUGCAGUUAUGUGCAAUUUAUUGUAGGCAGGAGGAAGCCUCAAUUAUGGCAAUCUGUUCAGACAGUCAUUUCCAGCAGUUCUUUGAGACAACCAUCCUUUCCAUGGCUAUAGCAAUUGCAUUUCUAUAUUUUGCUGGUCUGCUUAAAAGUCUGGACAAAAAAAUAAAAAAAUGUGUUAUUUCUUUCCUGUACUCUGCCAACAUGUCUCCUGGAUGGCAGCAAGGGAAAUCUGUAACUUCCUUAAUUCCUUGGUUCCUAGCUCAUUCUGUCCUGGAGCAAACACAUUGCUAACAUUCCUGCUUGCGAUAUGCUUCAUACAUUUAGUCAUUAUCUGAAUUCCACGAUCAUGUCUAUUCGCCUGGUCUGGGUUGAAAUCCGUGCAAAUCUGUUUGGUUUGCUGUGCAUUUUCUGUCCGUGUAUUUUGGAAGUCGUGACUUGUUAUGCCAGUCAAUCUUACCCAGGCAACAGGACUGCCAGGGCAUAGCCUGCUUGAGAUGGGUAUCCACAGCUCCACCCUAGUCUCUUUUCUUUCCGUGGCUAACAAGCUUGGACUAGUCAGAUUUGAAAGCAGAUUCCUCCUCUCUUGCAAAGAGGUGCCCAAAGAGACUCUGAUACUUUGUGUGCCCUGUUUUGAGAUCAGUUCCUUCUAGAUGCAUUUGGUCCCUAGCACAGCAUUUUAUAUUCAGCGCACUCCUUCUCACUUUUAUUUCUGAAGGACUCAGACACCUAAGUGCAACUCCAUUUUACCAGGUUCAAGUUCAGAGAAUCCAUUCAUGAAUUAUGCAAUACACUAUCCUCUGGCCCUUGAGGCUGAGUCACAGAAAAGCAGCGAGGAGGAGGAACACCCACCCACCUUUUGAACUGGCCACUUUGCAGAGACACGGCGAGCGUGUCUACACAUGCAUUAACGCACCUUUUCUAAUGCACCUUAAAGUGAGUACCUCCAAUGUGAGGUGCUAAGUUACUGUGUAUUCGGCUGUGCUAAUGUGGGGUAGUGCAUUUGCACACUUUUUAGUAAUGCUUCAUGCGCAGUAGACUAUUUUAUUGUGCAGCAGCAUCAUGUCAUGUUUUUACAUGAUGCUUAAUGCGCAAUAAAACAGUCCCGGCAUGGAACAGAAUUUCACUCAGGUGCCCAAGUCCACGUAUGUGCCUUCUAGUUGCAAUAGAGUUUGUUAAAGACUAAAAGCUGUCCUGAUGCAAAUAAUAACCAGCAAAAGCCAAUGCUAUCCGAGGAGAUAGCAACACAUGCACUAAGUUUGUCUUAGAGCUGCAGUACCCCUCCUGGGCAUCCUCUUCCACUCCCUCCUUCAGCACUGGAGUGAAGUGCUGCGUGGAGUCAUAGAGAAGGGAGCCGGAGGCAGGAUCAUCCCUAUCCAGCCCAUCCUAUACACCCAUAACCUAAACUCUACAUAAGACUGCUGUCAACCCUGCCUAACACCCUAACCUGCCACAGGUAAAGCAGGGGAACCACAGUAGCCGAUGUCCUGUUUGUAUAAAAUCUUGUCAAUAUAUGCUCAAGAGAUCCAGGUAGAAGGCUACUCCCCUGCUACAGAGGAAGGCAACCCCUCCACCCCACCAUAUCAGUCUGACCAUGGGGUAAAAUCUCUUCCUGACCCCAAAUAUAGCUAUCGGUCUCACCCUGACCGGAAGAGCAAGCCCCUCUAUGCAGGAACCUCUGGCUUCGCUCCUACCAGGAGAAUCGGCACACCCCAGUUGAAGUCCCUGGCCUUAGCUGUAGCCAACACCCAAUGACUCUGGGGAGGCUUAAACACAUCCUGGCACAUAUAGCAGAAAAAAAGUUGGGGAAGGGGACAACCAGCAAAGCUUAGACACAUGGGGAAUACCAUGGUAGGGCACAGGCAUCGCUACAGCUAGAUCAUCCCCGGCCAGUGGCUGUCCAACCUCUUCUUGAACGCCUCCAGAGAUGGAAAGUCCACAGCUGCCCCAGGUGUCUACUCCACUGCCUCACUGCGAAGAAGUGUAUCCAGAUAUCCACUCUGAACUUACUUUGCUGCAACUUCAAGCCAUUGGCCUAAAUCUUUCUCUCUGCAGCAAGAGAGAAAAGGUGCUUUCCCUCUUCUUUAGGGCAGCCCUUUAGGUAUUUGAAGACUGCUGUCAUGUCCCCUCUUAAGCACCCUUUCCACAAGCUGAACAUGCCUAGCUCCUUCAGCCUCACCUCUCAUGACUUGCUUUCCAAGCCCUUGAUCAUUUUGUUGCCUGACUCUGGACCCUCUCUAAUUUCCCCACAUCCUUUUUAAAAUGUGGAGUCCAGGACUGCACACAGUUCUCCAGAUGAGGCCUAACCAGUGCCAAGUAGAGGCACUAUUGCCUCCCAAGUCUUGUACCUAAUGCUUCUCCAAAACUGCAUCGGCCUUGUGUGCGGCUGCAUCACACUGCACACUCUUGCACACCAUCCAGCCAGGUGUCCCCCAUUUUGUCUUAUAUAUGCAAGAGGGGUAGCCUCUUGCAUUUGUCCAUACUGAACUUCAUCCUGCUAGCUCUAGCCCAACUUCCCACUCUGUUGAGAUCCUUCUGAAUUGUGCUCACAUCCUCUGAUGUGUUCCCAGUCCUUCCCAGUUUUGUGUUGUCUGCAAACUUGCUCAGAAAGCUUUCCAUACCAGCAUCCAAAUUGUUAAUAAACACGUUGGACAACGCCAGGCCCCGGACAGAUCCCCGUGGGACCCGUUAAUAAUUAUCCUUUGCUUGUAGCUAUUGAGCCAGUUAUCUAUCUACCUAGUCUAUAAAUACAUCUGGGAGAAAGGCUGACACAAACCAGACUAUGCUCUGUUCAGACUCACUAGCUCCAAGCCUCACUCUUUCCCAACAUAAGCUUAUAAAGCAAGCAGAAUCAUGUUUGGGGCUGUAACUUAUUCCCUAAAUUGACUUCUUAAAAAGCAACUAUCAGAGAGGCAGACCCAGGUAUGAAGCAGCGCUGGGAGAUACAAGUGAGCAUUCGGAUACAGCAGUAAUUUGUAUAGAGGAAUGUCGAACAAAGCCGGGGGUGGGUUGCUUGAGCUGCUCGACUGCCAACAGGGGCAUGAUGGCGGUUGUGACUCACGGGAAGUCGAAACAGGUCGAGCAAUAAUUGUUCUGCCUCCGUUGCAAGCACUUACGCCCAAGGUUUUCAAAGCUGCCUGUGGGAUCUGGGUGCCUGAUUUCUAUUAACACGAAUGGGACCUUAGCUGCCCAGAUACCAAGAUGGCCUUUGACAAUCUCAGCUCUUCAAGACCUUUCACAGAUGUAAAGCCAAAUCCAGCUCCAUUUCCCUGCAGAAGCAACUAUACUGAGACGGACGGGGCUACUGCAGAUUGAAAUGCUGACCCUAACGGCUAUGAAACUAUAACUCUGAAACUAUGAAAUGGAUCCCAGCAGGUGAUCUACGCAUGACUUCUGUGCCUCUACAGUCUUCAUAAUUGACUUGAGGCCUAAAACUGUGCCCCAAAGCCCUGAUGCUCCCUGUGCACCAGAACCCAUGGUGAGGUCCUUAAGAUGGCAGCAGGGGCACAAAGUGUGAAGGACAGGAUAUGGGGGCCUGCCUGUAGGUGCUCCAAGACUCAGUUUGUGCCUGUGUAUAAUAGCAUCAGAGCUGGGAAGUAAGUAGCAGAGCCUAGGCCAACCCAUCCCUGCCCAGACAGGGCAUUUGACUCACGCACCGUAUGUACUUACAGCCUCCAUCACCCAGGGAAUUUAUCUGAACACCUCCAUGCCUAAUGAAUUUAUCCUCGCAGCAUUUCCAUGGUACAGGGGACAACUAUUAUGCUCACUUUUCAGAUAGGGAGCUAUGGCAGAGGCAAAGGGAUUCACCCAGGGUCAUGCAGGAAGUCUGUGUCAGAGCUGAGUCUCCUACCCACCAGACUCUGUCAUCUCCAAGGAGGAAGCUUAGUCUACUUCUCAGGGUGGAGCUAAGCACCCUGGGUUCAUUUUGGUUUGUCUCCAGGUGUUCAAACUCAUAAUUAUUCAGACAGGGAACCAGUGUCUUUUUAAGACAGCCCUACACCUCUGUGUGGGGGAAGCUAUUCUGACACCCCUCCCCAGAUGGCAAAUUCAGACUUGGUGUCCACCUGGCUACUCAGUACUAAACCCCAUCUCCCAUUUCCAUUGCAGAGGACCCCAAUGCAUCAUUCUGCAGUGCUCUUUGCCAAGCAGGGGUGCGACGGUGGGGUCACACCCUCUUUUGGGACCAUGUCGCGGGAGCAGCAAAUGGGGACUUUUUUUAAAGUCCCCAAAACAGAAACAGGAGCAUCAGCAACUCCAUGAAGUCCACUGGGGACUUGGUUAUCGCCACUGAUUUCACAUGGAAAGCAUUCUGAUGGGCAGCAGCAUAAAGCUGGAUGGAUGGACAGAUGGAUAGAGAGAUACUUCUCUUGGGUUUCUAUGCCAUGGAUGUCAGUACUUCUGGUUAAGAAAGCACCGUGCACAGGAAGACGCAGGAAAAUCACUCCUCAGGCUGAAAGUAGCACUGCCUUGUCUAGACAGUGGAAUAUCAGCCAAAAAUCUGAGCCAAAACCAAGUCAUAUCCACUCGAAUGCUGGAUCGGGGAGAGGCUGCUCUUUGGCUGGAAGGUUUUUCUUUGCUGACUUGUGAAGGGAGCAAAAAGACAAGAAAAGUCAGGUUAAAUUGUGCAGACCCCUAAGAAACAAAUGAAUUCUCAGUGAUGGAUUCUCUCAGCUCUACUCUGUCCCUUGCGCUGUGCAAGCUGACAAUACUACCCAGAUCUUACGCAGCAUUAUUUUUUAUUCCUAGACACCUGAGCAUUUUUACCAGGAUUCCCCAUUUACAGACAGGAAAAUGAGGCAUACAGAGGUGACAGGUUGUGUCCAAGGUCCCCAUCAGGCCCCAGGAAGACCCGAAAAUAGAACCCAAAUGUCUGGUUUUCCUUUGGGUUGUGGUUACAGUAUUUCUUGCAAUAUAUUCCCACUCCAGUUUCCGGGCCUCUUUAUAUUCUCUUUCCAUUUUCACUCAUUUUCUGCCUUAUAACUGUUCUUUCAGUCUCUCAAUUUUAUAACCCUUCACUUAAGACUUUCCACCCCAACACUGUUCCUCAUUGCUUUAGGAUGAAGCUUAUUCUUGAGUUUUGCUACAACAGAAAAUUCCAGUUUUCCAGUGAAGUUCGUAUUCAGAAGUGCACUGCAGGAGAAAUGCCAGCAUUAGACUUGGAUUUCGAGCCUUUUUUCCAAACCUCUCCCUGCGGUUUUGAUUCCGAAUUGCAACUUAAUUUCUGAGCUCAGUUUAGACCCAGCUGCAAUCUUAUUACAACAGACUGAGAGAGGGGCUCUAAUCAUCAUAAAAUCAAACGGGAACAAAUUCUUAGGUUGGUUGUGUAGGCAGAUAUGCUUUUCUAGUGGCUUUCAUAGGGAUUUGCAGGGGAAGCACGACAAACAGGAAUCCUAGAGUCAUGUCCUCGUUCUGGAAGGGACUGUGCUGCAGUGGACGCAGGCCAUGUGCCUACAACCCCAAAGCUUGAAUCCUCUGUCCCAUCCCCUCCAACCCAUUCCUGUCCUAAUCCUGGUUCACUCCCACCUUUAACUCCCUAUUCUAAUCUCUCCUCUUUAAUCCCACCAUAGCUCCUCACUGAAAUCCUAGUCUUCUCACCUAGCCAGUUCUAGUCCACCCACUACAUUCAUCAUCCCAACCCCGGACUCCUUAACCAAUCACGCAGUUAAGUUAUACAUUGCAUUACCAGCUGUGCUUAUAUAUACCAAUAAACCUCCUAUACUGAA